AAUGUCAUGCUUAUUUUUGAUGAGGACUACAACACAAGUUAGAUAUUUUUGAGAGAGUUACUUUUUGAAAUACGCAGGAGUGAAUUAUUUCGUGAAUGUGAUUUGUUUUUCCUUCUCACUAACCAAGUUCAUAGCGUCAUGAACGUACAGACAAGCUUGAUGUAGAGAGUGUUACUUGAGGUUUUCUAUCAAAAUGUUUUGGGUUUCAACACACGUCUGCUCUUAAGUCGAAUUGCUUGUAAAGUAGGAAACUGUGUUUUUCCAAAAGAGUUUAUUUAGGAAAUUUUGAUACUCUUCAUUAUUGGGAUUUCUCCGUUGAAAUUAUUUAUUGAUAUUACUUUUAACAGAAUUUCCUUGAGAAUCUUUUACAGAAUGAUGUGUAUUUACCCAAGGCUACACAUCGAAAAGAAUUCGAUACAAUAAGUGGAAAAUUAGAAGAGUCUUCUGAUAAAGAUGGUCUUCUGCAGCCUACCGGUGGAAUGAAAGCUUCUCAUCCAAAUAAAGCCUUAGAAUUGAAGGACAGAGAAACAGUCAAAGCAGGUAAAUUUUGUAAUUUUAAUUUUACUCUGGAAAGAAGAAUAUUAAAAUAUUUGAAAUGUUGAGAGCGUUUUUAUUCCCAAUGUUGUUUUCUUUUCAAAAUUUGCUGGGAAAAAUUGGCACAAAUAAUGCCUAUGUUAGUAUUUAUGUUUGAGAAAAUAUCAUUUACAAGUAUAAGAUUUGGAGAUUUUAAAAAUAAUUGUGCUUUACCUCAUGUGGUUCAACUUUAAUGUCCUGAUAGUAUAAAGUUUCCAAUUUGCAAUUUCUGCACGUGUUUGGUUUUCAGGCAGGUGAAUUUUGAGACUGAAAUAUUUGCAAUGGUUCAAAUGCUGAUUGGAAUUCUGAUCUUUACUUAGGGAAAGUUUCACUUGCUGACACGACAGUUGUGAGUGUUGUCACUCUGACAGUCGAAAGAAAAUCUGUUUCUUUUUUUCUGAUUCAGUGACUGUGUGUGUGUGUG